GCCAUGUCGCCUGAGGCUAGCUCUGUGGCGUUUCCUGCUUUUUUCCCAUCACAGAAGGAGGAAAUAGCGCCUGUAGAACAUCUUUCCUAUAAACUAAACAAAACGGGUCUGGAGAAUCGUCGGUUUCAUCGACUUUCAGGUGAAUGAGACGUGACGUAGCGACUUGUUGUUACCUGUUGUGAUGAAAACGAUGACCUCAUACUCUUCUUCCCGCCGUUCGCGAGGACUCGGACUCCCUCGGCGGUUUCCGGCAGUUGGUUUCAGGGAUUCUAGACCGGAAGUUACUCGCGGAACAACAUCAUGACAUCCGGUUACUUUUCAGAAUAAAACCAUCCGUGUUGACGCCAGCGCAACAAAAAUC